UCCUCUUCUUCUGAUGUGGCUGUAGCCCACUAUGGUUCCAAUAUCUGCAGAAAGAGGAGGAGGAGGAGACUGGAUUUAUACCCUACUCUUCACUAAGAGUCUCAGAAUGGCUUACAGUCUCCUUUU